rnacentral:rRNA from 1 species
CUCCAGACUCCUACGGGAGGCAGCAGUGGGGAAUAUUGCACAAUGGGGGAAACCCUGAUGCAGCGACGCCGCGUGAGCGAUGAAGUAUUUCGGUAUGUAAAGCUCUAUCAGCAGGGAAGAAAAUGACGGUACCUGACUAAGAAGCCCCGGCUAACUACGUGCCAGCAGCCGCGGUAAUACGUAGGGGGCAAGCGUUAUCCGGAUUUACUGGGUGUAAAGGGAGCGUAGACGGCUGUGCAAGCCAGAUGUGAAAGCCCGGGGCUCAACCCCGGGACUGCAUUUGGAACUGUGUGGCUGGAGUGUCGGAGAGGCAGGCGGAAUUCCUAGUGUAGCGGUGAAAUGCGUAGAUAUUAGGAGGAACACCAGUGGCGAAGGCGGCCUGCUGGACGAUGACUGACGUUGAGGCUCGAAAGCGUGGGGAGCAAACAGGAUUAGAUACCCCGGUAGU